rnacentral:lncRNA from 1 species
ACGCCACGGCCCGCCGGGCCCCGCAGGGAGUUCGAAGGCUUCGAGGCUGCUCCCAUACGCACUGGUGGAAGGAGAGGCCGCGCUCCCGGCUGAGCACGGUGUCACGGGUGCUGCAGCCCACUGCGGAGCAACUUCGGGUCAUCUUCUUGUUACGUGGGGCCCCACCUUCGGGGUUCCCGCGACAGCAUGAAUCACGACCACUUUAGCUCCGCCCGUUGACUCUGCGGCUACGACCUUUAUUUGUCACGAAAGGCGGGCUUUAGAGGCGCGGGACUUCCACACUUCCUCUCCGAAGGCCCUGCGCCGGUGCCGUAGCCAAUGACAGGCCACGUUGUGUCCCAGCAGCCAAUCGGAAGGGCCUGAGCCUGAAGACGUGCAUUUGACCGCUCCUCCCUCCGCGUUGGAGGCGGAAUAGUGGGUUUUGCUGCAACCGGUUUAUUUUCCUUCUGUUUUCACCCAUUCUGGCACAAUCUGGCGCCAUCGUCCUUCUUGUGAGGCCAAGCCUGAAAAUGCGAAGCAGAGAGGCAGGACCAAAAUUGAGGCGAAUCCAGGAACCUGCCAAUGGGUCUCCGGGUGCGGUCUCUGAAACUGGAGGAUAUCGGGAGGAAAGGCUCUCCGAUGCGGAGAUAAUGGGGAAGCUCUUGGCAUGGUUGGCUGUAGGUAUGUGAUACCGGAGGAGCAGGAGUCAAAUAGGAUACGCCGACUUUUAAUUCAAGGAACCCUUUUCUGAAACACUUUGCCACAAUGAAGGAAAUAAGGUAAGGUUCUUGGGGCUCCUCAGUAGUAAUAGGGGCAGGGGACAAGGGGCAAUUAAGUGGUUUUGGUUGGGAAUGAGGCAUUAUGAAUAGCUUUCAGGAGAUAGAGCUUAGAACAAUGUCUUAGUUAUAAGCUCUUAUGUUUGAGGAAGAGAUUUCAAUUUGCUUAGAGAAGGAAACGGGCCAGUGGGUUUUUGUCUCUGAGAAGGAGAUCCUUAGCAUACAGAAAACAGAGAAGGGUUUGCAACUUUUCCGUUUCUUUGUAUAGCACACAAAAAUAAUUCCAAAUAUCCAGGCCUAACAAGAUUGCUUCUUUUUCCCCUUUGUGUUUACUUUGUCCAGAUUACAGCCGAAGAUACAUAUUAAGGUAUUACUUAUUCACACCAGUUUUCCAUUAUAAUAUGCUUGUAUCUUCUCUGAAUGGAAUUAAUAGCUUUUGGUUAUGGUUCCUUAAAAGUCACAUGGCCUAAGGAUAGAUGGUCAAGGAACUUUGGAAAAAUUGGUCCCUGGGGGAUGUGCAGGGCAAAUACUUUUUGGCUGUAAGGUGUGUGCAGAGAGUAAGAACUGGAUUUAAAUACUGUAAGUUGGUUGGGCUGUUAGAGCCUUUUCCUGCUCAACCAAUUAAGACCCGAGUGAGGCUGAAUAAAAAUAACAUUGUUUUUAGCUAUCUUUAAGGAAAAAAUUAGUUGCCUUAUAUUUUUGUAACAGUUUUACUCAGAUAUAAUUCUCAUACCACACAACUAAUUGGUUUAAAGUGUACAAUUCAGUGGGUUUUAGUAUAUGCACAGAAUUGUGGAACAGUCACAAUCAAUAUUAGAACAUUUUCAUCACUCCAGAAAGAAACCUCAUUCUUACUAGCAGCACCUCCAAAUAUUCCCCCACCCCGCUCAGCAAACACUAAUUUAGUUUCCGUGUGCCUCUGCCUGCUCUGUACACUUCAUGUAAGUGGAAUUAUGAACUAAUAUAUGGUCUUUGUGACUGGCUUCUUUCACUUGGAAUGUUUUCAGAGUUCAUCCAUCUUAUAGCACGUAUCAGUACUUUAUUUUUUAUUGCUGAAUCGUACUCCAUUUUAUGGAUGUAGCAGAUUUUGUUUAUCCGUUCAACAGUUGGUGGACAUUUGGGUUUUCCAAUUUUUUUUUUUACUAUUAUGAACAUUUGUGUACAAGUUUUUGUGUGGACAAAUGUUUUCAUUUUCCUGAUUACACACCUAAGAGUGGAAUUGGUGAGUCAUAAGAUAACUGUGUUUAGCUUCUUGAGGAAGUGCCAGAUUAUUUUCCCUAGUGGCUGCACCAUUUUACAUUCCCACCAGCAGUGGAUGAGGCUGCCAGUUUCUCCACAUUUUUGUGCAUGUGAAGUGGCUGUCUCAUCGUGGUGUUUGCCUUUUCUUAAGGACUCAAAAGUUUGCAGAUACAGGCAUUCACUUGCCAUUUUCUUAAGGAAUUGUACUCUCAGAGAUGUUGAGAAAAGAUACAUGGGUCUUGGAAGAUAAUUACUCAAAAUAUGCAGGGAAGGUAGUAUAUCUUUCUAUUUUAAAUGUAUUAAGUAUUCCUGGAACUAUAGCAGUGAGUUGGAAAUGGAGGAUUGUCCAAGUAAAAAACAUUUAUUAAGGCUUUAAUGAAAUCUACCUAUUUUAUGGUAUAUAAUCUCAUUAAUUGUCCACUUGGAAAGAAUAAUAACAGAUAUUUAUUUAUUGGCCAGUUACUAUGGGCCACAAAUUAUGCUGAGCUUUUUUUAAUUUCAUUUCAUUUUAUUUUAUUUUUUGAGAUGGGGUCUCACUCUGUCACCCAGGCUGGAGUGCAGUGGCGCAAUCUCAGCUUAUUGCAACCUCUGUCUUCCAGGCCCAAGCAAUCUUCCCACCUCAGCUUCCUAAGUAGCUGGGA